rnacentral:rRNA from 1 species
UAGCCAUGCAUGUCUAAGUAUAAGCACUUGUACUGUGAAACUGCGAAUGGCUCAUUAAAUCAGUUAUCGUUUAUUUGAUUGUACCUUACUACAUGGAUACCUGUGGUAAUUCUAGAGCUAAUACAUGCGAAAAGUCCCAACUUCUGGAAGGGAUGUAUUUAUUAGAUUAAAAACCAAUGCAAGUCUUCGGGCUCGUUUUCUUGGUGAUUCAUGAUAACUUUUCGAAUCGCAUGGCCUAGAGCCGGCGAUACUUCAUUCAAAUUUCUGCCCUAUCAACUGUCGAUGGUAAGGUAGUGGCUUACCAUGGUUAUAACGGGUGACGGAGAAUUAGGGUUCGAUUCCGGAGAGGGAGCCUGAGAAACGGCUACCACAUCUAAGGAAGGCAGCAGGCUCGAAAAUUACCCAAUCCCGACUCGGGGAGGUAGUGACAAGAAAUAACGAUACGGGGUCUUAAUAGGUCUCGCAAUUGGAAUGAGUACAAUUUAAAUCCUUUAACGAGGAUCAAUUGGAGGGCAAGUCUGGUGCCAGCAGCCGCGGUAAUUCCAGCUCCAAUAGCGUAUAUUAAAGUUGUUGCAGUUAAAAAGCUCGUAGUUGGAUUUCGGAGUGGGCCAGUUGGUCCGCCGCAAGGUGUGUUACUGACUGGUUUGCUCUUCUUCGCAAAGACUGCGUGUGCUCUUGAGUGAGUGUGCGUAGAAUUUACGACGUUUACUUUGAAAAAAUUAGAGUGUUCAAAGCAGGCUAUUGCUUGAAUACAUGAGCAUGGAAUAAUGGAAUAGGACUUUGGUCCCAUUUUGUUGGUUUCUAAGGCCGAAGUAAUGAUUAA